rnacentral:rRNA from 1 species
CAGCAGCCACGGGAAUACGUAGGUGGCAAGCGUUGUCCGGAUUUAUUGGGCGUAAAGCGAGCGCAGGCGGUCAAUUAAGUCUGAUGUGAAAGCCCCCGGCUCAACCGGGGAGGGUCAUUGGAAACUGAUUGACUUGAGUGCAGAAGAGGAGAGUGGAAUUCCAUGUGUAGCGGUGAAAUGCGUAGAUAUAUGGAGGAACACCAGUGGCGAAGGCGACUCUCUGGUCUGUAACUGACGCUGAGGCUCGAAAGCGUGGGUAGCAAACAGGAUUAGAGACCCCCGUAGUCCCUGUCUCUUAUAC